rnacentral:rRNA from 1 species
CUGGCUCAGAUUGAACGCUGGCGGCAGGCCUAACACAUGCAAGUCGAGCGGAUGACGGGAGCUUGCUCCUUGAUUCAGCGGCGGACGGGUGAGUAAUGCCUAGGAAUCUGCCUGGUAGUGGGGGACAACGUUUCGAAAGGAACGCUAAUACCGCAUACGUCCUACGGGAGAAAGCAGGGGACCUUCGGGCCUUGCGCUAUCAGAUGAGCCUAGGUCGGAUUAGCUUGUUGGUGAGGUAAUGGCUCACCAAGGCGACGAUCCGUAACUGGUCUGAGAGGAUGAUCAGUCACACUGGAACUGAGACACGGUCCAGACUCCUACGGGAGGCAGCAGUGGGGAAUAUUGGACAAUGGGCGAAAGCCUGAUCCAGCCAUGCCGCGUGUGUGAAGAAGGUCUUCGGAUUGUAAGGCACUUUAAGUUGGGAGGAAGGGCAGUAAGUU